rnacentral:lncRNA from 1 species
GUGAACAACUCUUACAGUUCUGUUCUGCAAAGAAAGAAAUAAAUAAUCUUUUUUUUUCCCCCUCUCAUAGGACUAACUUCAGUGGGAAUUGCUCAUGAAAAAGAGAAAGGAUCACCUGGAUUCUUCUGGAGCUGGGAAAUCUCCAGGAAAGACCUGCCCAAGGCACAGGAAGAAGAUCUGAGCUCUGCAGAGGCUCCAUCACACCUGGAGCUUCAGGCAAGCACCACCUCCCCUGCUUGGAGCUUCCCUGCCGAGUGCUGACGGCGGAUUGAGAGAGAAGGAAUAAACCCCAGCAUUUUAAAGCCACCCCGUGGAACAGAGGGUAUGUAGAUUUAUUUUCCAUGGCUUUCUUUAAUUAUUUCUUAAUCCUGCAAUUUCUGUGUUCUGCUUACCCCAGUUAUAUUCAGAGGAAUGUUUCAGAAUCAGGGAUAUCCAAAGAGGAAGAAAUUAAGGGAAAUAUUCACAUUGAGGCCACUCCCAGCACGUGACCAGAGCUGUGCUCUCCAUCACUCAGCAGCAGAGAAAAAUCUGGAGAUCAUUUCUAAUUCCACCAUGAAUUCCCUUCUUUUCCAGGGUCUGCCAGUGCUGGUGAAGUCUCUUUUGAGAAGCACAUGGAAAAUCUGCCAUCCCAAAUCCAGCUGCUCCUUCCCCCUGGCCAGCAGCCUGAGGAGGAGCUGUUUACAGGUGCUCCAUCCCAGCUCUGACUUCUGCUGGAUCUUUCCAUAUUCCUGAUCUCCUUUUGGCAGCUGGAUGGGAAGGGAAUGCCAUGGCCAAGGAGGGAUUGCCAAGGAGGGAUUACCAAGGUUCAAGAUGUAUUCCAAGGGAACACGAGUUCUGUGUGGCACCUCUACACCAGGUCAGUGCCUUCUCCCUGGACUCGCUGCCAGAGCUCUGAGGAGCAUCCCUGAUCGCUCAGGGUCUGCAGAUGGCUUUAAGGGUGAUCAAAAUGGCACAGUGGAAAUUCCCUGCUAUCAGGAAUUACAUAGCCGCAAGGCUGAAAUGAUUCAGUAAAUUGUAUUUGAUCAAUUUUUUUUCUUAUAGGAAGCAAAUGGCUGAUGAAAAGUUUCAGAAAGUGCUUUAUAAUCAGGCAGAGUGAGUCAGUUCUGUAUUUUCUGCUUUUUUUUCCAUUUUGUAAUUGGUUGGAAAAGUCUGUGAGUUCUGGUUUGUUGUUUACAAAGUGCUGAGAACACCGUGACACUUCUGAAAAUACAAAUAAUAGUGGCAGUGAACAGUAGCAUCAGACCUUUUCUGAUGGCUUGGAAAUCCCUGGAUUCUUUUAUUCUCCACCCCUUGGAGUAUCCUGUGCUUCCAUUUCUGGCUUUGGAUGCCAGUAAAGCACAGCUGGGGCUCUGGAGAUGGGACACAGAACCACACGGAUUUGGGCUGGCAGGGACAUGACUUCAUGUUCCUUUCUCCUUCAGCUUAUCUGAGGGGAGGAAACUGGGGACCUUAUCUUUUUCUGAGUGGAAAAACUGAUUUCAAGUGCACAUGUUUGAAGCUGCAGCAGUGAGCCAGGUUGGCUUGACUAAACCACAAAAUCUGACUGAGCCUAAUUAGAAACCAGGAUGCCUCCCAGCACUUAAAGGUUGCUUUCAAGAUUCUGAUGAGCUGACAAAACAGAUUAGUGAGAGGUGGGAUUGGUAUGAGCCAUGUUUG